GCUUUCAGUUUAGCUUUGAGCUGCAGC
rnacentral:piRNA from 1 species